rnacentral:misc_RNA from 1 species
CUCACGUCAGCUCACACGGCUCCGAUGCGGAUGGCAAUUCUUUAUAGUUCUUUCUCCGCUUCUUCGUUAAGAUAGAUAUUAUUAUUAUUUUGUGUGUGUGUGUGUGUUUGCGUGUUUGUGGUGAGGGAGCAAAUAAUAAAAUCUGGGCUUAAUAAUACCAAAUUAAAUGCUUAAUAAAGACUCGAGUUCGUUACGAAUGACUUGUUCUCUCCUUCUAUUGGCUCGUUCGUAGUGCCGCGUGAUAUACGGACGGUCCGACAGUUAAUCCGCUUUUUUUUCCUUUUUUUUUUCUGUGCGUUCUAUAUCUUUCGGCUUUUUCAUCCUUUAUCAGAGAUUAACGCUGGAAAGAAAGAACAAAAUAAGUCAUCGCAAGGGAGAGCUGGGAUUUGUGAUUGAGAAACAAAUAAUUCAAAUGAAUUUCCCCUCUCUGUGCGCUAAACUGGUUUCACAUAAAAGACAACAUCCGUAUGUGAGAUUCGAUUUCAACCAAUCGUCACAAACUGUUGCAAAAAUCAUUUGACUGGUGCGGGAAUUCCAUCAGGGCUUGUAUUUUAUUCAAAUUGCAUUGAAAACUCACGAAUCUCUCACGAAUUUACAGCCACAAACACGAAAAAAAAAUAAAAGGAAAGAAGAAAAUGUUCGGUACCCCAAAACGCCCAGCUUUCUUAUCGAGAUCUGCGAUCAAAGUUCAAUUUGGAGAAGAAAAAGAACGUCGUUUCCAUUUCGACGAGAUAAGUGGCUGGAUUGGAAGACGGAGCAACGAGACCGAGCUGAAGGGACUAACGUCUUGACUGGGCCUUCUUCGUUUUGCUUUAAUUCAAAUCGCUUCCCAACACACACACACACACACAAUCGCUUGUAUUUUGAUUUAGAUUUAUUGUUUUACCUGAUGUGGAUGCGGUGCACGCUUACGAUUUUCUUCUUGCCUCUUUGCCCGCCCCAUUGUCUUGGUCAAUCGCCAGUCCUAGUGCGUCGGCGUCGGUUCAUCUGCGAAAGGGCUGCGCCUUUCCAAAGUUCAAGUCCCGUCCGUUUGAAGAUCCUCUGGCGACAUUAAAGCUGCUGAUAUUUUCUCAAGAGCAUCAUCUCUCUCUCUCUCUCUCUUUUUCUUUUCUUUCUCUCCUAUUCCCUGGGCACACACGGACAGCUCAUUUGGCUAGAAUUUGCAUGUGGGCGGGACUGUGCGGAAAGGCAUUCGCACAAGAGCCGAAAUCGUGAGAAGUUACUGUUGAUCUCGAGCUGGCCGACAUGGCCGAAUUAACAGGCGAUCAAAGUGUUGCGAUCGGAAGCGACAACGGGACGGAUUUCCCCUCGGAUUGGAUGACGAACAACGGGACGUUUCAGCACAAUAUUAGUUUCGCGCCGUCGAACCACACUGAUUGGAUAUACGCCAUCGGUGACAACAGAUCGUGGCUGUGCCCCGUGUGGAACGAGACCGAUGGCGGAGUGGGCAAUUCCUUCACUCCGUCGGCCUUUUUUCAGGUCAUCAUUUACAGCCUUUACGGCGUCGUUUUCGUGCUGGCCCUGGUCGGCAACAUGGUCGUGUGCGCCGUCGUUUUCACCAGCAUCCGAAAGUGGACGGUGACGAAUUUCUUUAUCGUCAACAUGGCGGCCGGCGAUAUUUUAAUGGCAUUUUUCUGCAUACCGUUCACGUUCGUGCCGACAUUUGUGCUCCUUUACUGGCCGUUCGGAGCGGCCAUGUGUCGAUUAGUAAGCUUUUCGCAAGCCGUUUCCGUCUUUGUUUCAGCCUACACGAUGGUGGCCAUCAGCAGCGACCGGUACCUGGCCAUCGUCUACCCGCUGCGGCCACGCAUGACACGUAAACAGGCCAAGUGGAUCAUUGCCGCUGUUUGGUUGGCGGCUGUAUCAACCGCUCUGCCGAUGUUGAUUACAUCGAAACUGGUCGUGCCAGAGGACAGCAUGUGGCACCAAUGCGCCGAUCGCUACAUCUGCACGGAGGUGUGGGCUGACCAGAUGCAGAAGACUCAGUACACGGCCGUUCUUUUGCUGCUGCAAUACUGCUUCCCUUUGGCAGUGCUCGUCUUCACCUACGGAAGGAUCGGGCUCGAAAUUUGGGGUAAAAAAACUCCCGGAGAAGCGCACCAACAUCGUGACCUGCGAUUAGCCCGCUCCAAGCGCAAGAUGAUCAAAAUGAUGAUCAUCGUCGUUUUCUUCUUCGCCUUUUGCUGGCUUCCCUUCAAUCUGCUGCAGGUGAUCGGAGAGCAUUACCAGGAAAUCUGGAGCUGGACGAAAAUCAACUACGUCGUUUUCGCGUGCCAUUGGCUAGCCAUGUCUCAUUCGGCCUACAAUCCUAUUAUCUACUGCUGUUUCAACUCAAAGUUCAGACAGACGAAAGGGUUUCCAAGUAUUGGGCGUGCGCUGUGGCUGUCUGAAGGAGAACGCGGAGUGGCUGAACGCGGGCGAUUGCGACUGUGGUGCUCACAGCGGCACGCAAGGGAGCGCCCAUGGCGAUCACGGUUGCGCCCCGCUGCAACGGGUCAACACUUACACGACUUGCGCUGGCGGCAGCAAUUUAGGUCAGCACAGCAAGAACCCGUCGUGCCGGGUCCUGCUACCCACCAGCCACAACAACCAACACGGAGCCAACAUUCACUUUACGGGCCAGUUGGGUGCGCACAACCACCACCACCAUCACCAAACCAGCUGCAAAUCCAGCUGCUCGGUCCGUUCCCAGCACCAAGCGGAAGCCGGCGGCCAGCAGCCACGCGCAAGGUGUUGCUCCUCGUACAGCAACAGUGCGAACAUGCAACGCCGCUUCUCGCCGUCGUCAUCGGCGGCCGUUUGCGGCGCCAGCGUCAAUUACAGCCGAUCCGCUUCUCGUGCGCCCAAGUUUGUUUUCCGCACCAACUUCCCAACUCAAUCGUCGUGCCAUCAACAGCAGCGGCUGCUCUCUGGUGCUGGGGCUGGUUCGCCCACGAGCAUAACCAUCCCGUCCGGCGUCAACACCACGGCCGAAUCGCACAUUUGAAAGUGAGCGCGCAAGGCCACAAUAACGGCCAUCUGGUGCGACGGAAAUUCCUGAUCAACAAUAGCCGGCAAAAGGAUAAGAACAAAAGAGAUCUGUCGUGCGAGUCGCCUCCUCCUUCGAGGCUCUAACACACUAUAUAGGCCCACAUCCGUCUUUCUUUGAUCGUCUUUUAUUUGUUAAGUUUUGUUGACGUCUUCUGUUUUCUAUAUUGAUUUUUAACUCAUCAAAAAGGAGGAUUGCAAACGGCUGCCUGUGGCUGUUGACUUGUUCGUAUCCUGGUUUAGCAUUUUCCUUUUAAUUACGUACUUGACAUCAGUGAAAACGUAAUGCGAAAACUGGUUCAAUCGAUUAGCCAAGACGUUGAUAAUUUCAUGCCUGUUCCGCUCUUUAAAUUUCACGUUAAAGGGUUGGAAAGACAGUCCGCGUGGAUCUAACUCUAGUAGGGCGGCCAUUUAUUAUUAUUUGAAUACAAACGGGGAAGCUUAUGAAAAUGAGUAAAUGUCGUGAUACGUUUUGAAUCCGUUUCAUUUCAAUCGUGUAUCUAAAUGUGAACUGAUUCAAUUUUGACGCUAAACUGAAUCGUUCUAUCUGGAAAGAUUGUCUACUGUAGCUACAACACGAAUCACGUUUGCGUCACGUCUGUCAUGCUCUCUUAUACUCCGCACGUAUAUUAUUGUUGUUAUGUCUGUACAGUGACGUCACAUUGAUUGAGUCUGCGUACAAGCCAAUUUCGAAGAAUCAAACAUUAUUACGGUUUCGAAACACAGCGGCAGAAUAUGGCCUUGUGGGUUCCAAACGACAACUAUAUGUAUAUAGAAGAAAGAGAGAGUUUUGGGUUUCCCCUUGACCUGAUUUGAUGACUUUAUAUCUGGACGACACAUCGUCUUAAUUCUAUAAUGUGCUACGUUUAUGUUGUUUUUUUGUUUUCGCGAUUCCAUGUUGUUGUUUUGAUGGACGGUUUGACCGCAAAAUCGAAAAGAGAGAGUCAAUCUAAUGCGCAUUAAAAGCGUAAUGCCCUUCACCUUCUUUCCUUCUUCCCUUAAUUUGUUUUUUCUUGUUCGCGUUUCUAAAUAGAAAUUGACCGAUAUUAAAGCAAAAACGGCCUGAUUAGAUAACAAGUUAAUCUCUCAGCGCGUGUCUGUUGUAUAUCUCGACUCGCAGUCCGGUACGCGCUCACGUUGACCUUUACGUUGUUUCUUUUCGAUGUUUCAUCACCUGCCUACGUGUUGAAACGUUGACAUUCGACCAAUUUGUGUUCUAAUUCUUAUUUACUAAACGGACAUUUUCGACAACAAAUUGCUUACGGAAUUCGAUUAGCAUCGAUCAAUCCCAAUUUUAAAAAAAUAAUAAAUAAAAAAUAAGUCAAUAAAACUGAAGCCAGCGGAUUUCAAUUUUAACAAAAGCACAAAACGUGCUCCUCUUGAUUGCUAUAUCUUAACACACGUUUCACGCCCGAAAACCAAAAUACACAAAAACCAAUUGCCCAAUUUUAUACAUUUCGUCAGGUAAAAAGUCCGCACGAGUGAGUUGACAAAUGUCUAUAUUUUUCUCUGCCGAAAUUCCUUGAUUAGUACUCAAUGUCACUAUACCCGUUCUCGAUUGCUCCCCCACCAGCGCAUAUGUAUACCCCAGCACGCCCCUCUUCUCUGAGCUAAUAUACACGUUUUCCAUGCUACCACUUUAAUCCCGUGUAACCGUAUAUAGCCGUGCGAUAAAGCAUCUGUUUUCUUGUGCGCGUUGUUGGUGUGCGUGCGGGACUUGUACCGUCAAAGUCAACACUUUUAUUUGUACCUGCCGUUGUAUGAAACAAGGUGUCGCGUAAAGUCAAUGCCGGUGUGUUUAUUACUCGAUCGACAUCGGCCAGAAGGAGACGCCUUUGCACUUUGGCGUGAAACUCUGUUCGUAAAUCCCGCACAAAAGUGAUAAAGAAAAAAAACAAAAAACAAACAAUAAACGACACAGACCCACUCAAAAAAAAA